rnacentral:rRNA from 1 species
AUUGAACGCUGGCGGCAGGCUUAACACAUGCAAGUCGAGCGGAGUGAUGGUGCUUGCACUAUCACUUAGCGGCGGACGGGUGAGUAAUGCUUAGGAAUCUGCCUAUUAGUGGGGGACAACAUCUCGAAAGGGAUGCUAAUACCGCAUACGUCCUACGGGAGAAAGCAGGGGAUCACUUGUGACCUUGCGCUAAUAGAUGAGCCUAAGUCGGAUUAGCUAGUUGGGGGGGUAAAGGCCUACCAAGGCGACGAUCUGUAGCGGGUCGGAGAGGAUGAGCCGCCACACUGGGACUGAGACACGGCCCAGACUCCUACGGGAGGCAGCAGUGGGGAAUAUUGGACAAUGGGGGGAACCCUGAUCCAGCCAUGCCGCGUGUGUGAAGAAGGCCUUAUGGUUGUAAAGCACUUUAAGCGAGGAGGAGGCUCUUUUGGUUAAUACCCAAGAUGAGUGGACGUUACUCGCAGAAUAAGCACCGGCUAACUCUGUGCCAGCCGCCGCCGUAA